CACCGCACGUCGCGUGGUG
rnacentral:snRNA from 1 species